GGACGGGAAGCACAGCGGUCGUGCGUUCGGCUGUUAACCGAUUGGGCGUGAGUUCGAAUCUCACCUCGUCCGCCA
rnacentral:tRNA from 1 species